rnacentral:other from 1 species
GCGGAGCUGCCCGGCUCGUUAGGCCUCUGAACCCCCAGGGGCGAUAAUCUACGCUCGGGGGCUGUCCCUCACCGGAUCUUGGUCCGGUGACAUGGCUCCCACUUUUACCUGUGGCCCAUUGGGAGGUCACAACCGGCCGACGGCCAUGGCGGCUCCACU